CUACGGGAGGCAGCAGUGGGGAAUAUUGGACAAUGGGGGCAACCCUGAUCCAGCAAUGCCGCGUGUGUGAAGAAGGUCUUCGGAUUGUAAAGCACUUUCACUAGGGAAGAUGAUGACGGUACCUAGAGAAGAAGCCCCGGCUAACUUCGUGCCAGCAGCCGCGGUAAUACGAAGGGGGCUAGCGUUGCUCGGAAUGACUGGGCGUAAAGGGCGCGUAGGCUGUUUGUACAGUCAGAUGUGAAAUCCCCGGGCUUAACCUGGGAACUGCAUUUGAUACGUGCAGACUAGAGUCCGAGAGAGGGUUGUGGAAUUCCCAGUGUAGAGGUGAAAUUCGUAGAUAUUGGGAAGAACACCGGUUGCGAAGGCGGCAACCUGGCUCGGAACUGACGCUGAAGCGCGAAAGCGUGGGGAGCGAACAGGAUUAGAUACCCUGGUAGUCCACGCUGUAAACGAUGUGUGCUGGAUGUUGGGUGAUUUUAUCAUUCANUGUCGGANCUAACCCGUUAAGCACNCCGCCUGGGGAGUACCGCCCCAAGGUUNAAACUCAAAGNAAUUGACNGGGGCCCGCACAAACGGUG
rnacentral:rRNA from 1 species